AUACGGAGGGUGCAAGCGUUAUUCGGAAUCACUGGGCGUAAAGGACGCGUAGGCGGGUUGGCAAGUCAGAUGUGAAAUCCUACUGCUUAACUGUAGAACUGCAUUUGAAACUGCUAACCUAGAGUAUGGGAGGGGGAGAUGGAAUUAGUGGUGUAGGGGUAAAAUCCGUAGAUAUCACUAGGAAUACCGAAAGCGAAGGCGAUCUCCUGGAACAUAACUGACGCUAAGGCGUGAAAGCGUGGGGAGCGAACAGGAUUAGAAACCCUAGUAGUCC
rnacentral:rRNA from 1 species